UGAAAGAGAAAAGCACCUCGGCCUCAGCGUCUCGGAGAAGGUAGUUCUGCUCAUCUGGAAAAGAGAACAGCCCACUGUGCCAACAGUGCACGGCGCCCGGGACGCACAGUGCCACCUGCUCCAGGCCGCCCCCAGGCAGGGAUCUAGUUCCCCGACCAGAGAUCGCACCUGGGCCCCCUGCAUUGGGAGCACGGAGUCUUAACCACUGGACCACCAGGGGAGUCCCUGAAGUGAUAUAUCUGAAAUGUAAGUAAGUGUCCACGGCAAAAUCAAGGUUGAUAUGCCUUCUGGAGAACUAUGAGGGAGUACCAAGAAGUAGUUCAUAUUUAUGAUAAGAGACAAUGACACUGAAAUAUAACAAAGUAGCUAAAACAAAUCCUGUCCCAGAGGAGAUGCUGACAUUUUGGUUUUCUAAAAGGAGCAGCAGAGUUGCAUUAACUUGCUAAGAAUCUGUAGAAAGAGUCAACCUGAAAACUAAACUUUUCACAGCAGCACAAAGGACAUGGGUCUUCCAGAAAGAGAUUAUAAAAUUGGUGUCUCAAACUAUAUAAAUUAAAUGCAAAAUUCCAAAAUUACCCCCUACCCCUUGUUGAACAAUCCAGCUUUAAAGCUGUCAGUCGGGCCCCGAGGGCGUCAGAGCCCAGUCGGGGCUGCAGGGCCGGGCGCAGCGGUGGCCGGCAUGGGGCGGGCUGUGUACAGUGCAGCUGAUCAAGUCACUUAACGUGUUCACUAGGACACAGGAAGCCGGGCUUCUCACUGUUGCUGGAGAAAGGAUUACAGACAAAGGACGGGAGGAGACAAGGACGAAGCCUGUGGUGGCAGAUAGACUGGCAUCGGCCAGACAGACACAGGAAGUGGAAAGAGGCUGCAGCAGGAGCAACACCCAAGGGCCCCGAGCACCGUCCGUCCAUGCCCAGUUUACACUGAAAGGACUCGGGGAUCCUUGGGAAAACGCUGGUGCGGAACCAGGGCAGAAGAGCAUAAGGCGAGCCUAGAACAUUCUUGUUUUGCCAAAAGCUACCAGGUGGUCAACUCGACAGGAGAGGUGGACACGGAAGCCAGCCUGAGCGGCAAUCCCUGGUCACGGUGGGGACCAUGUGAGGGUCGGUGACAACAAGACGAUAACAACGAGAUAGAAAGGAGAGCGUGUGGGGAAAUAAGGGAAUAAAUCAAAAGUCUGACAGGGAACAGCAGUAUCUGCAAAGUUUCAAAGUGCUUCCCAUAAAUGACUCGUCAAGAAGCCUGGCCGGCUUGCACCUGCGCCGAGGGACCACCGUGAAACCACCCGCAGGACAACAAGCCCGCACCGUGCAGCCCCUGGCAGGAUGCGAGGUGGGGGGAGACGGCAGCCAUGUGACGGUCCCACCACAGACGCCACCUGCCCCCCCUCGGGAGGAGACAGCACACACACCAGACGGAGGGCGUUCUGUACAGUGACCGACCUAACUGACCAGACGUCGUCUUCUUCAAGUGACAAGAACAGACCAAGGGGCCCUUCCCAGACUCAAGGAGACUAAACGCAACGUGUGAUUCACAACUAGGUCCUUCUCUAAGGGGCGACGCUGAGACAACGGGUGGAUCUGAAUGGGGAUGAGGACGUCAGGAUGAGGCGGCAGCGAUGGAUCGAUGCUGAUUUCCUGACUGACUCUGGCCGUGCCGCGCCAUCUACGAGCACGUCCUUGUCUGUCUGUAGGAAACACGCGUUGAGGUGUUGGGGAUAACGGAGCAUUAUUUGGGCAAUGGACUCUCUAAUGGGUCAGGAAAAAGAAGCUAUGU